GGUGUUUUUCCGUGAAGAGGAUUGGGAAAAAGUUAGAACUUGGUCAACUUCCUCCACACGUCUACGGAUUGGACCUGCCACUUUAGAUUUUGAGAUUGCUAAUCGUCUUAUGGAUAAAUCUGAGUGGGUUGAUAGCUUGGAGAUUGACGCCGCAAUGUACAUAUU